GGGCAGUAGCUUAGUGGUAGAGCACUUGCUUUGCCUGUAGAGAGUCCCAGGUUACAUCCCUGGCAUUUUCA